AGAUUGUUGUCAGGUUGAAAAUGCAUGAAGCUGCUCAAAACCGAAGAGGAGCUUAUAGCCAAGGCUCUGGCUGGAAUCAGGAGAGGGCAAUAGGAUUUGGAGCACUAUACAAGACAUGAUCCAUACAACCCACAACCAAAUAUUGCCAAAUCCUUCCUAUUUUACAAGCAUAUAUCUCUCCCAUCUCCUUCCCCCCCUCCCCUUUUUUUUUCCAUUUCUCAGCCACUGACUUAAUUUGAGCUCUCAUUGCCUCCUGCAACUAGGGUUUUUCUAAGGACAGACACCUCAAUGGAAUAACUCCCAAUGUUACUUCUCAUUCAUCAAACCACCCCAGUCACAGACCAGGAAGAGCUCUGAGUCAGAAAGUAAUGAUUGCUUUGCCUCCCAGCUCACACUCAUAAAACAACCCAGGGACAGGCUGGGCUGGUCACCCAGGGGCCACGGCAGGGGGAAUGAGUCCCUGCUGGACCAGCCUGUCAGACAACUGCACAGAAUUCCAUCCUGGAAUCAAGAGAUGUUUUCCACAUCCUCUGUGGCAAAUGGGGUGAAGCUGUCAUAUACUCUGGAGUCAGAAAAGGAGGCUCUGGUGCAUUCAGGAAAUGAUACUAAAGUUCAAAAGGCAAGAAACAUGACCAGGGCCACAGCUCAGAGGUGAUUGAGCACAGAUUCUAUCUGACUAUAUUCUGAGCUCCUGGCCCCCCAAGAAGGGUAAGUUUUGUGCUGGAGACUGUGGAACGUAAGGCUGAACAGAGUGGUCACGCUAAGUAAAUCAACAGGCGAAAUAGGAUUUCCAGAAACUUCCUGUUUUAAUAGGUCAGAGAGAAAUCACCAAACUCUGUUAAAAACAUCAGGCCCCUGAGCCACAAUCCCCACUAAAUAUUAAGCCUGCUGGGUGAGCCCGCAGAGCUAAGUUUAUGCAGCGGGGAACAUUUCCUUCGGUGGUGACAUUUAUAGUGGACUAUUACAUCUUCAUCUAGCAGAAAAACCCAAAUUCUUUUCUUCCACCUUUAAACCGAACUGAUCUCAUCCCAGAUGCUAUGGUUAUUUGCCUCUAGCUUCCAAAACAAAAGUCAAUGGCAAGACCAUCUGUUUACAGCCAGUGACGUGGAAAGGUCACCAGUCUCUCCCAUUGCCUCUCUACUUCACGUUAAGAGUUAACAACGCAGAAAGAUGAUUAUUUAAUAUGAACUCUGGAGUUUCCUCUGGUGGUAAAAGGGGAAUCCAAAAAUAGGACUCAAUUUAGGUUGCCAUAAUAGAUGCUGGAGAAUUUAACCAAGAAGUCAGAAAAAAGAACAAAAGUCUAAGGAAAAUAAGAAGGACUUAAUAUAGAGGGGGAAAAAAGCAAAUUAAGGAAUUUGAAAACCAGAUUAAUAAGUAAAUCCAGCAGUAGCUUCUCUAGGGAAAAACUUCAAGAGGAACAAAAAUGUAGACUAAUGCUCUUUUUCAUUGUUUCAAUCAGGCAAUAUAGAACAACACACUGUUGGUCCAAUCAGCAUUUUCAAGAAUUCCAAAAGUCACUUGAGAAAAUGUAGGCUUCAUUUUUGCCUGUUUUCGACAGAUAAUAAUAUAUAUGCAUAGGGAAAUAUCUAGAAGCAUAUUCAUCAAAAUGUUAACAGUAUUUAUCUCUGGGUGACAGAAUUUGGAGCAAUUUUUCUUUCUUCUUUAUACUUCUCUAUACUUCUUGAAUUGUUUACAGUGCACAUUUAUCAUUUUUACAGUCAGAAUAAAAAUUCUAAAGCCAUUUUCA
rnacentral:lncRNA from 12 species